rnacentral:rRNA from 1 species
GACAGAGGUGCCAAGCGUUAGGCGGAAUCACUGGCUUAAAGCGUGUGUAGGCGGACUUCUAAGUACCUUGUGAAAUCCCCCGGCUCAACCGGGGAACGGCUGGGUAUACUGGGAGUCUUGAGCCAGCUAGGGGUCGCCGGAACAAGUGGUGGAGCGGUGAAAUGCGUAGAUAUCACUUGGAACGCCAAUGGUGAAAACAGGCGACUGGGGCUGUGCUGACGCUGAGACACGAAAGCCAGGGGAGCGAACGGG